UUGCAUAUCAAUAAGCGGAGGAAAAGAAACUAACAAGGAUUCCCCUAGUAACUGCGAGUGAAGCGGGAAAAGCUCAAAUUUAAAAUCUGAUAGUCUUUGGCUGUCCGAGUUGUAAUCUAGAGAAGCACUAUCCGUGCUGGACCAUGUGUAAGUCUCCUGGAAUGGGGCGUCAUAGAGGGUGAGAAUCCCGUCUUCAACAUGGACUACCAGUGCAUUGUGAUAUGCUCUCAAAGAGUCGAGUUGUUUGGGAAUGCAGCUCUAAAUGGGUGGUAAAUUCCAUCUAAAGCUAAAUAUUGGCGAGAGACCGAUAGCGAACAAGUACCGUGAGGGAAAGAUGAAAAGAACUUUGGAAAGAGAGUUAAACAGUACGUGAAAUUGUUGAAAGGGAAACGCUUAAAGUCAGUCGCAUUGGUCAGGGAUCAACCUUGCUUUUUUGCUUGGUGUAUUUUCUGAUUAAUGGGUCAGCAUCAAUUUUGAUCAGUGGAAAAAGGCUGAGGGAAUGUGGCAUCUUUUGAUGUGUUAUAGCUCUCUGUCAUAUACAUUGGUUGGGAUUGAGGAACUCAGCAUGCCGCAAGGCCGGGUUUUAACCACGUUCAUGCUUAGGAUGCUGGCAUAAUGGCUUUAAUCGACCCGUCUUGAAACACGGACCA
rnacentral:rRNA from 1 species